rnacentral:misc_RNA from 1 species
AUAUAUAUAUCAACCUUCUCUUGUUGAAUGGUUUGGAUGUGGGGGUUUGCUGGCCUCUUGAAGGGUUCAGCUCUCCUGAAAUGCAUUAGCAGAACAAACCUCGUUCAUUGGCGUGAUAACUAUCUACGCUAUUGAAUAUUAGGGGCAUUUCAGCUUUCUAACAGUCCUCGGACAACUCAUCAUUA